AGUGCAUACAUCACUGUCCAUCUCUUCUUCUUAAUGGCAAGAGAAAUAUAUUGCAUCAUAUACAAACAUUUUGUAAGCACACCAGAUUACAAGUGUCUUUUUGGAACUGGCAAGAGAGAGGGGAAUUCCUUAGCCUGCAAUCAUAUUCCUUUGUGUUUCUGGAAGAAAUCUAAGCUAGAGAUAAUUAUAGUAACAAAACUGCAGCCAGCAUGGUCUUCUGUUCCUAAUCAAAGUAAAUUUGCUCUCUCUGCAAGCUUCAGUGUAUAAGAAAAAGAAAACGCAUACAAUUGAUUGCAUGGAAUGCAGAUUUUUUGAGGCUGCUUGCUCAUCAUUAUGCUGAGGUUCUUUUGUAAUCUAUAUUUGAAUCAUGUACACAAACAAAAGUAGAAAGCAUAUGGCAAGAUAUUUACAGCCGUACAGAAAAAUCAGUUACUUGCAAGGAAGAAUUUUAAAAUGGUGUGCCAAUAAUAACAUCAGGUACAUUUUUUGUUAUUUUUAUAUAGGUCUUAGAUAUGACGCAGGCUUGACUUCAGGGCUAGAGAUGGGGACUCUGUGGAGGUUAGCCAGUGCCAACCACUUCUUAUAUUUGCCCUUCUUUACAAGGAAAUGGUGCCAUUCUGUAGCUUGCCCCUUCAUGUUUACAAAUCAGCUAAUAGAAUUACCAAGUACUCCAAUAAUAUGAGAGUCAAGUGGCCCCCAAGCUCUAACUAGCUGCUUUAUUUUGUCACCCACAAGUUUGUGGGAAAUAAAACCAUCACCAGGCUCAGUUCAGAACCAAAAUACCCCUUGGUUCUUGAGCCAUUCCAGUGGAACUCCUAAGUAGGUCUAUAAAUGGGACAGCAAUAUCACCAUCGCUAAGGCUGGACCAUUGAGCUAUGUGUGCCCUGACCAUUAUUUUAGUAUGCCCAGUGCUGCUUUCAGUAAAACAUGCGGCUAACUCUAAUGCCCAUCAAAGAGCUUCAUUUACAUAGGGGCUACUCAGUUCAUUUAGGGAUGGUAUGUGUACUAUAUGAAAUGUUUUUAAGAAGAAAGUCAGUAAAUGUCCCCCUAACUGUAUGUGUUUAGGAUUGGACACCAUCAAUACACGUAACACUGAUGAGAACCCAUCAUGGCAGUAUGUUAACAGAAUAGAAUGCCAUAGAAUAUAUAGUUCAUUACUUCUUACAUGGAUGUCUCUAAAAGAAAUACUGCCCUUGAAAUCCUAUUUCUUAAUUUUAGUCUAUGCUACUAAGCUCAGGAACCAGACACAGACUUCCAUGAGCAUAUGGUGUCAUGAGCAUACCCGUGGUCCACCUUCUUACUGAUUCCCAACAUUGAAACUAUAUAACACCAAUUUUGCAGAUCAGACAA